UUAAAAAGAAAGUCAUUCUCAUCAUCAACAUCAUCAUUAUAUGCCUUGACCCUUUUCUAGCGCAACCUGAUCCUCACCCUCCACUGCACCUCAACGCCAAUUCCAUCUCUCUCUCUCUCGCUCAAAUUGUCAGAAUUGCUAGUAAUUCGGAAAUCCUUUGCCUUUACACUUACAAACCACAAGAUGGGCUCAAACUCCACGCACGGAUCUUCAAGCAAAAAAGCGACAUCGUGAUAGUGCUACUGCUAGUCCACCCGUACUCGGUGAUGGCCUAAUAAGAGGUUCUCUCACAAUGUUGUUGCUGUCUGCAACUGGGUCUCGCAUUUUGUUGGACUCUGGUGGAUAGUUUGCUCAAUACUUUGUACAUUCCAUGUGUAAUUUCAGAUGGUGGAUCUGAUCAUGCAGGACUCCCGCAGCCUGACUGGUUAAACAUGUGCUUAAUGUUUGGAUACCAUUGCAAAAAUCAAUAUAAGAACCUUGAUGAGGGUUUAAAAUUUUAAAUUUGCAGCUAUCACCACAGAAGGCCAAAUAUUUUGCAUGUCCUGGAUAUUUGAAAUAGAGAUUUCUGGGGAGUCAAUUUCAGUACAACCUUUAACAUCAAAGACAGCCAUUAUUACCAACAAAAUCUCUAGAUCUUAUACUUACAUGUUGUUCACUGCCCCUAAUACUAUUUUACAACCGAGUCCAUGCCGGUGCAAAUUUCACUUGAUGAAUGAAAAAAUCAAUGCUUUCUUUCGAGUU